UGCGUAGGUGGCUGAGCAAGUCGUGGAUGAAAUCCCCGGGCUUAACCUGGGAACUGUCCCCGAAACUGCUCAGCUUGAGGGAUGGUUGAGGAAAGCGGAAUUCCCGGUGGAGCGGUGAAAUGCGUAGAUAUCGGGAGGAACACCAGAGGCGAAGGCGGCUUUCUGGGCCAUUCCUGACACUCAUGCACGAAAGCUAGGGGAGCGAACG
rnacentral:rRNA from 1 species